rnacentral:lncRNA from 1 species
GAACAUCUCUAUAAGGCCUCAGUGCUUCCGGUCCUUCCUUUCUCGAAAGCACUGCGAAGGCUGCCGGCAGCGUGGUUGUUCCUUUCGCGAGUUGGUGUCUGGCGCACAGCGCGAACGUCUCAUGAGCAAGAAGCCGUAGAGACGAUGCUCUCAAUGUUGGACACCGAAGUGAGGCAACUCAUCGGGCACAACGCCAAAAUGUCCCUGUUGUGUCCUGGCCCUGGGUCACGCGUGUCGCGCCUUGACAGCCGUGACCUUGAACGACCUUGACCGGCCGGGCCGGGCCGAGCGGCCGAGGGUCAGUAUCGUCCGAGCGGCGCUGGUGUCAACACAGCUGAGUGCCGCGAGGUGAGG